rnacentral:lncRNA from 1 species
AGGAAGGGGAUGUGUGUGUGUGAGGCACGUGGUAUCAGCUGACUCAUCACCAGGUUAACCUGCUCACCUGGCAAUUGCGUGGGCUUCUUCAUAAUUCAUACAUCAUUUUUCCUGUUUCAUACUCAAAAUGCUGAAGCAGGAGGGUCGCUCGAGCCCAGGAGUUCAAGAUCAGCCUGAGCAACAUGGUUUCCAACUUCAGCCGUUGGUUCCUCAGCCUUCUACGCCUUCCACUGGAACCCAAGGCUCUUUGGUCAAUGGGCAGCCCGAGUGUUUGGGCUGCUUAGCUUUCAGAGGGAUGUGCUGCUGAUGUCUGUCCUUUUUAAAGAGAGCUAGAGCUGAAACCUUACUGGGAACUGGAAGAUGGAAACACAGCGGUGAGCCUGGAGCAGGGCGACGCCAGCCUGGAGGCCCUCUCUUCCUGCCCACAACCUCACCUCCUCACAUCUACACUGCACACUUGCACCGGCCUUCUUUCUGCUUCUUGGGACCACAGACUGAGAAGGGACCCCCAGUCCUGCUAGCUCCUUGCUUGGUCUCAGGGUGAAGACGAGUCCCGAGUUUGAGUCCAGCCUCAAAUCUGCUGACCUUGGAUAAGUCACUUCUCACCGCUUGGGGCUUUGGUUUCCUGAAUAGAUUGAGUUAAAAUCUUUGUGGGUUUUUAACAUUAAAAAAAAAAGUGGAACUUGUUUUUCAAAUAAAAUGUUACACGAAAACUUAAUACUAAAAGCAGAAUAAGCUGGAUUUGCUCCCGUAUUCUGGGUGCCUCCAAGUAUCCCCUCCCCCUCUUAUCCAUCCUUGUGUACCCCCUGCCACCUAGCAGCCCCCUUCCCAGUUCAUCAGGGGCCAUUGGAGGGAAAGGCUUGGGAAGUACAACUCUACAGAGUUCACGCUAAGGAAGAACCUUGCAGGAAAUGCUUUUAAACGUAAACCAGCAACAUCUAGCUUCUCCUGUGUAGAGAGCUGCCCAGACCCCACCACCAACUGCUAAUUCUGAUUUUUCUCCGCUGGACAUUGGCUUUCUUAAUAAAUGUUUGGAUUUUUAAAAUCUACCAUUUUUGAAAAAAAUAAGCAUUUCCGCAUAGAAAUCAGACCUUGUCUGCGAGCCGGAGAUGUCCUCCGCGUAUUCCCGGUGACAACGAUGUGGCCUGUGAGCCUGCAUGGGGCUGAAUGGUUCUGUGAUUUCCUAGCACGGAACAGAACUAGUGAAUGCCGCUGUGUUUGGGGCUAGGAUGCUCAGAGGCCAUCCCCUCUCCUCCACAGAGGCUCGACUACUCGAAAUGCAUUGCUUCUGAGCCUAAUAUGUGUCACAAUUUCACCUUCAAAGGCCAAGCAUCCAGAAGCAGGAGAAUAAAGAUGUUUAGUAAGUGCAGCACAUCGAUUCCUCUUCAUCUGGAGCUGCUUAGGAGCCACCAAGAUUGUUACUCCUGCUCUCAUUAUGAAUGCAUUAGCAUUGAACUUAAUAGGAGGGUCCCCCAGAGAAAGUUAAGAAGCCUGCCUCAGAGGCCACUGCAGGGAGACGUGUGGGGCCCAUGCUCUGGGCAUCGCUGCAUAAAGGAGACUGCACCUGCUCUGACCCCUUCCCCAAGACGUUCAGUUGCUCAGUCAGAAAGUCAAGGAUGAAAAGUGUGUGUCUCUGGCUGGGUGUGGUGGCUCACACCUGUAAUCCCAGCACUUUGGGAGGCCAAAGAGGGUGGAUCACUUGAGGUCAGGAGUUCAAGACCAGCCUGUCCAACAUGGCAAAACCCCAUCUUUACUAAAAAUAUGAAAAUUAGCCAGGUGGUGUGGUG